rnacentral:rRNA from 13 species
AAGCGAAUAAGAGCGUACGGCGGAUGCCUAGGCUUUCAGAGGCGAAGAAGGACGUGACAAGCUGCGAUAAGCUUCGGGGAGGUGCACAUGACCUGUGAUCCGAAGAUUUCCGAAUGGGGCAACCCGGCACCGUGAAGCGGUGUCACCGAAAGGAGCAAACCCGGGGAACUGAAACAUCUAAGUACCCGGAGGAAAGGACAUCAACCGAGACUCCGCUAGUAGUGGCGAGCGAACGCGGACCAGGCCAGUGGCUUGCAUUUAAGAACCGGAACCGUCUGGAAAGUCGGGCAUUAGUGGGUGAUAGCCCCGUACGGGUAGAAAUUAUGCAAGUCCUCGAGUAGGGCGGGACACGUGAAAU